UUCCUGCUUAUUCCCUCUGAAGUGGGACUAAGGUCAAAGAGAGGUCUGUGAGAUGUGAGCAUCAGGCAGCUCCUGGAGCCUCAUCCGUCCCCAAAGCCGGGCCUUCCUUGGCAAUGUACCACAGGCUUUGCCCCAGUGAACACCAUGGACAUUUUCACAGCUGCUGACAGGUGUCAGAUUAAAAUGAGGGAAAGCUUGUCGAAAAGCCAGUUCAAACAUGUAAUUCUAUACACUGUUGGAGUGUAGCACUGAGAAAAUUUGGCAAUACACUUAAGAAUCCAAACAAUAUGGACCUGGCAAAGUUUGCAGUUCAGGAAUGGGGGGAAUUGACUGGGCACUUAUGUUUCAUUCUCAAAUCCUGACAUGUCUUCUAAUUGCAAAACAUGAUUCAAAUCUUCAGAUGGUGUCGACUGGAAUAAAUCUGGCCUUUACCAAUUCAUACAAGGCUGAAGAUUUAUCCUAGGGAUGCAUCUACAUUGUGCCAGGCUGUGUCAUGUAGAUCUGCUUAGACUGGGAAGCAGCAGAGUCACAUUACUGUGGCCUUUUGCUCCAGCUAACACACCUCGCAUUUGAGCAGACCUGGUUAGCUCAGACCCCUGGCUGAAGAUGUCCUGACCUUCCAGGGCUGCGUGUCUUUGGAUGGCACUGCAGGAUGUCCCAUAGACAUAAUCAUUAUUUUCAUAAUGUUCCAUCAUGGACAGCAAAAAAAAAUAAAAAUUGCUGAGAGUUAUAUAACAAAGCUUGUGCAAGUUCUUUGCUUUACCUGGGAAGCCUUGA